GGAACUCUUGAAUGGGAUCCUAUGAGAAGUUGAAGGAAAGAAUCUGAUCAAAUUGGGCCAUAAUCUGAAGAAAUGUGUUUAAGCUACGACAAGGUAUGAUAAAAAAAUAUAAAAGCUGCUCUUCCUGUCUUUUGUUCGCUUCACGUAUCUUCGCUAAAUCAAUAUGUUGGAAGGUUUGUGUAUGUAGAAUUAGUCUGGAUAUGCCCACGAAAAAAAAUGCCGAUUUAUAUUGUAUUUCUCAUGAC